rnacentral:rRNA from 1 species
UACGUAGGAGACGAGCGUUGUCCGGAGUUACUGGGCGUAAAGGGUGCGCAGGUGGCGGCGCGCGUGGGGGGUGAAAUCGCCCGGCUUAACUGGGCGGGGGCCUUCCAGACGGCGUGGCUUGAGCAGCGGAGGGGGACGUGGAAUUCCGGGUGGAGCGGUGAAAUGCGUAGAGAUGUGGAGGAACACCAGUGGCGAAGGCGACUCUUUGGUCUGUAACUGACGCUGAGGCGCGAAAGCGUGGGGAGCAAACAGG